UGGGGUAAGUGUCCCCCAUGCUGACGCCCUACUCCUGGUCACUCUUUUCUGGGGACAUACCUAUCCCUCCAACUUCAUAUGUGGAGACAUAAACCAUCAAGGCAAAGCUUCAAGGGAGAGGACUCUGGGGUGCUCAGGCCAUGUGGCCGAACUCCCUUCAAUUUGAGAGGAAUAGGUGUGCGUGAAAAAGGGGUGUUCCCUUCUGCCCUUCUGUGAUGGCAGAAGGAAAAAGACAUUGAGGAACCAGAACGCCAGCCUCUCCAGACACCAUGCCUGUCUGCGCCUGUGUCUUGAACCUCCAGGAAUAAAUUUCUGUCCUUUGUAAGCUGCCUGGUCCUCUGUGGGUUGUUAAAGCAGCUUUUGUGCAGGGGGAUCCUCUAGCAGUCUUUCCAGGUUGUGUCCAUAUUUCCAUUUGCCUGCUGGCUUCUGUUGAUGGAGACUGAGAUUCUCUCCUGGAUGGAAGGCUCUGGAACACAGAACAGGGAAAGGGGUAAUGGCUGUCUGCUGGCAGAAGAGUCAAAAAUCCAGGGUUCAGUUCAUGAAACUGGAAGUGUCAGCGCUCUGUCUGGAGCUGGUACCUUGGAGGACUAGAGAGCUGCUGGUCUGUGGUCCACACAGAAUCGAGAGGAAGUUCUAACGCCAGUGAAGGAAUGCCUCUGCAGCAGGGGACAUGAACUCGCCAGUGAGAGUGAGGACAAGCAGGCAAAGAGCAAGAGCUUCCUUCUUCUGUGGCCUUUUAUGUGACUGCCAGCAGAAGGCGUGGCCCCGAUGUGGAAUGGGUCUUCCCACUUCAAAUGAUCCAGUCAAAAAGAUCUCUCACAGGCGUGCCCAGAUGCUGGGUUUUAGUUGAUUCCAGAUGUUGUCAAGUUGAC
rnacentral:lncRNA from 1 species